rnacentral:rRNA from 1 species
AUUGAACGCUGGCGGCAGGCCUAACACAUGCAAGUCGAGCGGAUGAAGGGAGCUUGCUCCUGGAUUCAGCGGCGGACGGGUGAGUAAUGCCUAUGAAUCUGCCUGUUCGUGGGGGAUAACGUCCGGAAACGGGCGCUAAUACCGCUUACGUCCUGAGGGAGAAAGUGGGGGAUCUUCGGCCCUCACGCUAUCAGGUUAGCCUAGGUCGGAUUAGCUAGUUGGUGGGGGAAAGGCCUACCAAGGCGACGAUCCGUAACUGGUCUGAGAGGAUGAUCAGUCACACUGGAACUGAGACACGGUCCAGACUCCUACGGGAGGCAGCAGUGGGGAAUAUUGGACAAUGGGCGAAAGCCUGAUCCAGCCAUGCCGCGUGUGUGAAGAAGGUCUUCGGAUUGUAAAGCACUUUAAGUUGGGAGGAAGGGCAGUAAGUUAAUACCUUGCUGUUUUGACGUUACCAAAAGAAUAAGCACCGGCUAACUUCGUG